UACGGAGGGUGCGAGCGUUGUUCGGAAUCACUGGGCGUAAAGCGCGUGUAGGCGGCCCACUAAGUCUGAUGUGAAAGCCCGGGGCUCACCCCCGGAAGUGCAUUGGAAACUGGUGGACUCGAGUCCCGGAGAGGAGAGUGGAAUUCCUGGUGUAGCGGUGAAAUGCGUAGAUAUCAGGAGGAACACCGGUGGCGAAGGCGGCCUUCUGGACGGCUACUGACGCUGAGACGCGAAAGCGUGGGGAGCAAACAGG
rnacentral:rRNA from 1 species